rnacentral:rRNA from 1 species
UACGUAGGGUGCAAGCGUUGUCCGGAAUCAUUGGGCGUAAAGCGCGCGUAGGUGGUCAUGUAAGUCCGCUGUGAAAGUCAAAGGCUCAACCUUUGAAAGCCGGUGGAUACUGCAUGACUAGAGUACGGAAGAGGCGAGUGGAAUUCCUGGUGUAGCGGUGGAAUGCGCAGAUAUCAGGAGGAACACCGGUGGCGAAGGCGGUUCUCUGGGCAUGCCCUGACGCUGAGGAGCGAAAGUGUGGGGAGCGAACAGG